GCCGCCAAAGCAUUGAUGGUGAUGUGCCGGUUUUGUACUCCGGAGAUGAGGAUUCGAGUUCCUCUGGCGGCU
rnacentral:tRNA from 1 species